UACGAAGGGGGCUAGCGUUGUUCGGAAUUACUGGGCGUAAAGCGCGCGUAGGCGGUUUUGCAAGCCAGAGGUGAAAUGCCCGAGCUUAACUUAGGAAUUGCCUUUGGGACUGCGAGGCUUUGAGGACGGGAGAGGUGAGUGGAAUUCCCAGUGUAGAGGUGAAAUUCGUAGAUAUUGGGAAGAACACCGGUGGCGAAGGCGGCUCACUGGCUCGUUUCUGACGCUCAGGCGCGACAGCGUGGGGAUCAAACAGG
rnacentral:rRNA from 1 species